GAUGAACGCUGGCGGCGUGCCUAAUACAUGCAAGUCGAGCGAACAGAUAAGGAGCUUGCUCCUUUGACGUUAGCGGCGGACGGGUGAGUAACACGUGGGUAACCUACCUAUAAGACUGGGAUAACUUCGGGAAACCGGAGCUAAUACCGGAUAACAUUUGGAACCGCAUGGUUCUAAAGUGAAAGAUGGUUUUGCUAUCACUUAUAGAUGGACCCGCGCCGUAUUAGCUAGUUGGUAAGGUAACGGCUUACCAAGGCAACGAUACGUAGCCGACCUGAGAGGGUGAUCGGCCACACUGGAACUGAGACACGGUCCAGACUCCUACGGGAGGCAGCAGUAGGGAAUCUUCCGCAAUGGGCGAAAGCCUGACGGAGCAACGCCGCGUGAGUGAUGAAGGGUUUCGGAUCGUAAAACUCUGUUAUUAGGGAAGAACAAACGUGUAAGUAACUAUGCACGUCUUGACGGUACCUAAUCAGAAAGCCACGGCUAACUACGUG
rnacentral:rRNA from 1 species